CUGAUCACAAGAUACAUACAUCCUGCAAAACAGAGUUAGGCGUUCUAACGUUCCAAACUUCAGAGGCCCGAAACUCCAUCUUAGAGGCCGAAUUUGGGAAAUCUAAUUUCGCCGUAAUCAUGUGUAACUUUUUCUGUAGAUCAAUUUUCAUAUACAAUUCGCCUCGAUCCGAGAUCGUAUCGAAAAGUUACGGCUGUUUUACCGAAGCAUACACAUACGGCAAAAAUCCC
rnacentral:lncRNA from 1 species